GACGGGGGGGGCAAGUGUUCUUCGGAAUUACUGGGCGUAAAGGGCGCGUAGGCGGCCUUCUAAGUCGAACGUGAAAUCCCCGGGCUCAACCCGGGAACUGCGUCCGAUACUGGAAGGCUUGAAUCCGGGGGAGGGAUGCGGAAUUCCAGGUGUAGCGGUGAAAUGCGUAGAUAUCUGGAGGAACACCGGUGGCGAAGGCGGCAUCCUGGACCGGCAUUGACGCUGAGGCGCGAAAGCCAGGGGAGCAAACGGG
rnacentral:rRNA from 1 species